rnacentral:rRNA from 1 species
GAUGAACGCUGACAGAAUGCUUAACACAUGCAAGUCUUUGGCGAAGCUGUGCUUGCACAGCCUAGCCAAGGCGGACGGGUGAGUAACGCGUAAGGAACUUGCCCUGCAGUCAGGGAUAACAGACGGAAACGACUGAUAAGACCUGGUAAAGUCAGGCGGACUCAUGUCCAGCCUGAUGAAAAGAGAUGCUGCAGGAGAGCCUUGCGUCCUAUUAGCUUGUUGGUGGGGUAACGGCCCACCAAGGCGAUGAUAGGUAGCCGGCCUGAGAGGGUGGACGGCCACAAGGGGACUGAGAUACGGCCCUUACUCCUACGGGAGGCAGCAGUGGGGAAUAUUGGACAAUGGGGGCAACCCUGAUCCAGCAAUUCUGUGUGCACGAUGAAGGUUUUCGGAUUGUAAAGUGCUUUCAGCAGGGAAGGAAAAAAUGACGGUACCUGCAGAAGAAGCGACGGCUAAAUACGUG